UUGCUUCAGCAGCACAUAUACUAAAAUUGGAAUGAUAUAGAGAAGAUUACCAUGGCCCCUGUACAAGGAAGAUACAUGCAAACUCAUGAAAACUGGACAAAAGAU